rnacentral:rRNA from 2 species
UAGAGUUUGAUCAUGGCUCAGAUUGAACGCUGGCGGCAGGCCUAACACAUGCAAGUCGAGCGGUAGAGAGAAGCUUGCUUCUCUUGAGAGCGGCGGACGGGUGAGUAAUGCCUAGGAAUCUGCCUGGUAGUGGGGGAUAACGUUCGGAAACGGACGCUAAUACCGCAUACGUCCUACGGGAGAAAGCAGGGGACCUUCGGGCCUUGCGCUAUCAGAUGAGCCUAGGUCGGAUUAGCUAGUUGGUGAGGUAAUGGCUCACCAAGGCGACGAUCCGUAACUGGUCUGAGAGGAUGAUCAGUCACACUGGAACUGAGACACGGUCCAGACUCCUACGGGAGGCAGCAGUGGGGAAUAUUGGACAAUGGGCGAAAGCCUGAUCCAGCCAUGCCGCGUGUGUGAAGAAGGUCUUCGGAUUGUAAAGCACUUUAAGUUGGGAGGAAGGGCAGUUACCUAAUACGUGAUUGUUUGACGUACCGACAG